UAUGUCAUCAUAUCUCAUGUGAACCAUGUGCUCUUACAUAUCAAUAUGAUCAUAUCAUCCCUUGAGCAAUUUCACUUGAUUCAAGCUUGAAAGAAUGAUUGUUGCUCUAACCUAUGGUGAAUAGUUUUAAAGGCAAUAAACUUGAAUCUCCUCCAAAACGUUAAUUAAUCUCUACAGGACUGUGAAUUCUCUUCGAAAUAUUUAAAUUACAUCGAAAAAGCAGUUUCUUUUCCUCCAACCAACUCAAGAGAAAGAAGUGUACAGUUUUUCCACUUAUUAAUCAGUUUUUUUCCGUCAUCUCCGAGCUCUCUCUCUCUCAAUCUCAGACAUCUCAAACUCUCUCGAUCUACCCAUCUCCAAGCUCAACUCACCUCGUCUCAAGCUCAUCUCAUCUCACCUCGUCUCAAGCUUCUUCUCUCAAGCUUCGUCUCUCAAGCUCUCGAAAGCUUCAUCUCUCACUCUUCAAAUCCAGUUCUUGAAGCAUUUGGAAACGCCAAAACUCUUAGGAAUAACAACUCCAGUGCCCUGACACAGAUAAGGUGAGAAGCAAGAUGAUCUAUGCGAGCUCCAACGACAGGUUCAAGAGGGAAUUGGACGGGAUUCAAGUUGAUAACCCAAGGCAUUUUAGCUGUUGCAGUUUCUUGGGUGGGGAGUGAGCUUUGGUGAUAUCAACAACGCAAGUUUUAUAUGGAUCACCAGGGGCGAAGCUAGGAUGUGGGAAGGGGGUGCCUGUGCACCCAUAAUUUGUUUGAAAAUUAAUGUAUUUUUGUACAAAUUUUUGUAUGUGCACCCAUAAUAAUUUAUAACAUGCACCCACAAAAAUA